rnacentral:rRNA from 1 species
AGGGCGGAUAGUCGGAAGGAGUAGACGCGAAACCAAGUGAUCUACCCUUGGGCAGGUUGAAGGUUAGGUAACACUAACUGGAGGACCGAACCGAUAAGCGUUGAAAAGCUUCCGGAUGACCUGAGGGUGGGGGUGAAAGGCUAAUCAAACUUGGAGAUAGCUCGUACUCCCCGAAAUGCAUUUAGGUGCAGCCUUGAGAGUUACUAAUGUGAGGUAGAGCGACUGAUAAGAUGCGAGGGCUUCACCGCCUAUCAAGUCUUGAUAAACUCCGAAUGCGCAUUAGUUCUAUCUCAGGAGUGAGGGCAUGGGUGCUAAGGUCCAUGUCCUAAAGGAGAAGAAUCCAGACCAUCAGCUAAGGUCCCCAAAUAAACACUAAGUUGAACUAACGAAGUCAGAUUGCUAAGACAGCUAGGAUGUUGGCUUGGAAGCAGCCAUUCAUUUAAAGAGUGCGUAACAGCUCACUAGUCGAGGAGUUUGGCGUGGAUAAUAAUCGGGCAUAAGUGUUUUACCGAAGCUAUGGGAU